rnacentral:tRNA from 2 species
GCCCGGAUGGCGGAAUCGGUAGACGCGCUGGUCUCAAACACCAGUAGGUUCACCCCUGUGCCGGUUCGACCCCGGCUCCGGGUA